GAUGAACGCUGGCGGCGUGCCUAAUACAUGCAAGUCGAGCGAACGGACGAGAAGCUUGCUUCUCUGAUGUUAGCGGCGGACGGGUGAGUAACACGUGGAUAACCUACCUAUAAGACUGGGAUCACUUCGGGAAACCGGAGCUAAUACCGGAUAAUAUUUUGAACCGCAUGGUUCAAAAGUGAAAGACGGUCUUGCUGUCACUUAUCGAUGGAUCCGCGCUGCAUUAGCUAGUUGGUAAGGUAACGGCUUACCAAGGCAACGAUGCAUAGCCGACCUGAGAGGGUGAUCGGCCACACGGGAAGUGGGACACGGUCCAGACUCCUACGGGAGGCAGCAGUAGGGAAUCUUCCGCAAUGGGCGAAAGCCUGACGGAGCAACGCCGCGGGAGUGAUGAAGGUCUUCGGAUCGUAAAACUCUGUUAUUAGGGAAGAACAUAUGUGUAAGUAACUGUGCACAUCUUGACGGUACCUAAUCAGAAAGCCACGGCUAACUACGUG
rnacentral:rRNA from 1 species